rnacentral:lncRNA from 1 species
CCCGAAAUAGCCUUCAGCGCCCGCCAGCGAGGAGGGUACUCGGGCCAGCCGCACAGUUCCGGGAGCCGAAAGCAGAGUCCAGACGCUGCCACUUGCCGGAGACGGAGAGGAAGACGGAGAGCGCCGAGCCGGGAGCCGAUCGGCACAGCCGUCCACGCGUGCCCACCGGCGCCGCGCGCGCCCUCUUCGCUUCCGCGCCGCCCCCGCCAGGUGGAGGGGUGGGGGCGGUCGGGACAGGCGCGAGUUUGGAGGAAGCCGCCGCGGAAGGGGUUUCCCGCCCGGGCUAGCGUAGUGCUGGCAUCCAGAGGCGGAACAGCGGAGCUCCCGCCCGGCUGAGCGGGCCGCAGCUGCGGCAGGGGAGCCCAGGCUGGGCGGCCGGGAUCCCGGGGUUCGCGCGGGGAUGCGCGCCGAGGAGGCGAGAGCUGGCUGAGGAGGACGACGACGACGACGACGAGGAGGAGGGCGAAGCGGCGAGCGCCGGGCGCAGGCGGACGGGCUGCCUGCCGGCGAGGAAGGCUGUGUGUGGUCACGUUGUGCGCUACGUGUUGGGAGCGCGAGCUGCUAGCCGCAGCCGGCGACGUCAAAGCCGGGGUGCGCGGCUCGGCUCCUUCCUCCGGCUUCUCUGCCUCUUCUGCUCCUCCUCCUCGCUGCCUUCCAGAGCGGGCCCCGGAGCUCAUCAGUAUGGACGGCGCCGAGAGGCUCCGCGCGGCCGGCGGCAUCCGGCCUCCAGCCUCCCCGGCCGAGCCCUUCCCGCUCCCCGGAGCUCCGCGGGGACCCGGGCCGCUUAUAUACCUGCUGUUGGCGUUUGCAAGCCGAGGGCCAGCUACCACCUAGACUUGCGGAUGAAGAAUCUGUGCCACCGGGCUGAGGGAUCUGCGCUGGAGCCAGGAAGUGACGCUCAAGGUGAAGACCAGAGCUCCCCUGAAGAGAACAGCAGCCUUCCCUGGCUGGCGACAGCAAGAAUAGCUGAGUUCAUAUCAGGAAAACCAGACAACAGCAAACUUCUCCAGGAAAAUCAACAGCAUACCAUCUUUCCUUCUUGUUCUCCUUAUGUGUCAUUUUGGCAAAAAUCCUCAGGGUUGUCCAAGUAAGGCAUGGAUUACAGAAAUAGAUGAAUGGAGCCUUCCAUUAAUGUUGAUGUCACUGAGAAAUACUCUCAAACCUACACGAUGAACAAGUUGACUACUUAGUGUCCUCAUUGGAAAGCUUUUUAAUUUAAGAGGUUUGAAGUUAAAACAUAAUUCUCAUACUAUGCAUUUCCUACUACAAUUUAUCAUUUAUCAAUAUUCAAUUACCACAUGACCUUUAAGGGAAUCCAUGCAUCAGAGCUAUACUUUAUCACUCAGAAACCUUAAAAUUAAUAACAAAACUUGGGUUUUGAAUUUAAUUAAAUUAUAUAAUUUGUGGGUUUUGAUUCUGCUUAGGGAAUAAUGUUUGAAACCCCGUGAAUAUGUAUGUAUGUAUGUAUGUAUGUAUGUAUGUAUGUAUGUAUUUGGGAUUGGGGACCAAACUAAGGAAAUCCAGACAAGCAUUCUAGUAUUAAGCUACCCCAUGGUUCUAUACUCCACAAUUCUAAAAAUUAAGAUUAUUCUAUUCUUAGCACUUUUACUGAGUUUCUGAAUGACUUACUUUUACUCAAAUAUUUUCCCCAGUUGUCCAAAAAAUUGUGAAAGAGAAAGGCAAUAAUUCUUGUAAAGGGCUGGGGAUGUAGCUCAGUGGCAUUGUGUCUGCCUGGCAAGCACAAGGUCCUGAGUUCAAUUCCCAGUACCGAAAAAAAAAAAAUCCUUUGGGCCGGGGAUUUAGCUCAGUGGUAUCGCAGCCUGCUGCGCAAGCACAAGGGCUGAAGUUCGAUCC